GGGGCUAUAGCUCAGUUGGGAGAGCGCCUGGAUCGCACCCAGGAGGCCGCCGGUUCGAGUCCGGCUAGCUCCAC
rnacentral:tRNA from 1 species